UGGGGAAUUUUGGACAAUGGGCGAAAGCCUGAUCCAGCAAUGCCGCGUGUGUGAAGAAGGCCUUCGGGUUGUAAAGCACUUUUGUUCGGAAAGAAAUCCUUGGCUCUAAUACAGUCGGGGGAUGACGGUACCGGAAGAAUAAGCACCGGCUAACUACGUGCCAGCAGCCGCGGUAAUACGUAGGGUGCAAGCGUUAAUCGGAAUUACUGGGCGUAAAGCGUGCGCAGGCGGUUUGCUAAGACCGAUGUGAAAUCCCCGGGCUCAACCUGGGAACUGCAUUGGUGACUGGCAGGCUAGAGUAUGGCAGAGGGGGGUAGAAUUCCACGUGUAGCAGUGAAAUGCGUAGAGAUGUGGAGGAAUACCGAUGGCGAAGGCAGCCCCCUGGGCCAAUACUGACGCUCAUGCACGAAAGCGUGGGGAGCAAACAGGAUUAGAUACCCUGGUAGUCCACGCCCUAAAACGAUGUCAACUAGUUGUUGGGGAUUCAUUUCCUUAGUAACGUAGCUAACGCGUGAAGUUGACCGCCUGGGGAGUACGGUCGCAAGAUUAAAACUUAAAUGAAUUGACGGGGUCAUAGCUG
rnacentral:rRNA from 1 species